CAGCAGCCACGGUAAUACGUAGGGUGCGAGCGUUAAUCGGAUUUACUGGGCGUAAAGCGUGCGUAGGCGGCUUUUUAAGUCGGAUGUGAAAUCCCUGAGCUUAACUUAGGAAUUGCAUUCGAUACUGGGAAGCUAGAGUAUGGGAGAGGAUGGUAGAAUUCCAGGUGUAGCGGUGAAAUGCGUAGAGAUCUGGAGGAAUACCGAUGGCGAAGGCAGCCAUCUGGCCUAAUACUGACGCUGAGGUACGAAAGCAUGGGGAGCAAACAGGAUUAGAUACCCCCGUAGUCCCUGUCUCUUAUAC
rnacentral:rRNA from 1 species